rnacentral:rRNA from 1 species
UACGGAGGAUGCAAGCGUUAUCCGGAAUGAUUGGGCGUAAAGCGUCCGCAGGUGGCUAUGUAAGUCUGCUGUUAAAGAGUCUAGCUCAACUAGAUAAGAGCAGUGGAAACUACAAGGCUAGAGUACGUUCGGGGCAGAGGGAAUUCCUGGUGUAGCGGUGAAAUGCGUAGAGAUCAGGAAGAACACCAGUGGCGAAGGCGCUCUGCUAGGCCGUAACUGACACUGAGGGACGAAGGCUAGGGGAGCGAAUGGG